rnacentral:lncRNA from 1 species
AAUGCUGGGCGAAGGCUCCGAGCCACGAGACCCCCGCCUCCUGUCCCGGGACCCACCCAGGCGGAGGCAAGGGCAGGGGCGCUGGGGGCCCAGAGAGAGGGCGCCGCGAUGGAUGAAUGAGCUGUUUCCAGCAUUCCUGCUUCAACUCAAAAUUUUCCUUCAUGGCACAGUGGAAAGCUUUGAAGACGGCGGUUCUGGGGCUGAAUAUGAAGGCAACUCGGACUAAGAAGACGACUGCUUUCCAACUGCCCUCCCGUCCUGCAGCCGCCUGAUUUGAGGAAGGGGCUGGGAUCCUUCCCCUUGCCCUCUGGUUGUUCUUGGAGUUACAGCAGCCCCGCGGCAGCUCUGCCCCCUAGUGCACAUGUGAGGCAGCGCGCCCUUCUCCAAUCCAGAAGCCUCGUCGCGGUGCUGCCAGCAAGGGAGUUUUUCUGUAUUCACUUUGGUGGAAAUAGCAAAACUUGACAGAAAAAAAACCCAAGCCAAACCAAAA